rnacentral:rRNA from 1 species
GAGUUUGAUCAUGGCUCAGAUUGAACGCUGGCGGCAUGCCUUACACAUGCAAGUCGAACGGCAGCACGGGAGCUUGCGUCCUGGUGGCGAGUGGCGAACGGGUGAGUAAUGCAUCGGAACGUAUCCUGGAGUGGGGGAUAACGUAGCGAAAGUUACGCUAAUACCGCAUAUUCUGUGAGCAGGAAAGCGGGGGACCUUCGGGGCCCUCGCGCUCGUUGGAGGCGGGCCGAUCGGUCGGAUUAGCUUAG